UCUAACUCAUUGUUAUUAGGUUGGUGCAAAAGUAAUUGCGAUUUUUGUCAUUGAAAGUAAGGACAAAAAUUGCAAUUAGUUUUGCACCAACCUAAUAGAAUUAGCUUUCACAGA
rnacentral:miRNA from 1 species